AUACUUACCUAAAAGAAGAGAUACCGUGAUCACGAAGGUGGUUUUCCCGGGGUGAAGCUUAUCCAUUCCAUCCAGAACAUCUAGAUAUUCUGGUCCCUACCAUUUCUCCAAAUUCAGGAGACUCAACUGCAUAUUUGGUGGUAGUGAGGAACUGUAUUCAUGCUCUCCUGU